rnacentral:sRNA from 1 species
GUCGGGGUGAGGGUUCACGUACUGGG